CCACACCGUAACUUCGGAAGAAGGUGUGCCUUUAGUAGGUGAAGGGAUUUACUCCUGGAGCCCAAUGAGGUUGCAAAAAAUCGGUGGCUGCGACUGUUUAUUAAAAACACAGCACUCUGCAAACACGAAAGUGGACGUAUAGGGUGUGACGCCUGCCCGGUGCUGGAAGAUUAAAUGAUGGGGUGCAAGCUCUUGAUUGAAGUCCCAGUAAACGGCGGCCGUAACGAUAACGGUCCUGAGGUAGCGAAAUUCCUUGUCGGGUAAGUUCCGACCUGCACGAAUGGCGUAACGAUGGCCACACUGUCUCCUCCUGAGACUCAGCGAAGUUGAAAUGUUUGUGAUGAUGCAAUCUCCCCGCGGAAAGACGGAAAGACCCCAUGAACCUUUACUGUAGCUUUGUAUUGGACUUUGAACAGAUCUGUGUAGGAUAGGUGGGAGGCUUUGAAGCAGGGUCGCUAGAUCUUGUGGAGCCAACGUUGAAAUACCACCCUGGUGUGUUUGAGGUUCUAACCUAGGCCCGUAAUCCGGGUUGGGGACAGUGCAUGGUAGGCAGUUUGACUGGGGCGGUCUCCUCCCAAAGUGUAACGGAGGAGUUCGAAGGUACGCUAGUUACGGUCGGACAUCGUGACGAUAGUGCAAUGGCAUAAGCGUGCUUAACUGCGAGACUGACAAGUCGAGCAGAUGCGAAAGCAGGACAUAGUGAUCCGGUGGUUCUGUAUGGAAGGGCCAUCGCUCAACGGAUAAAGGUACUCUGGGGAUAACAGGCUGAUACCGCCCAAGAGUUCAUAUCGACGGCGGUGUUUGGCACCUCGAUGUCGGCUCAUCUCAUCCUGGGGCUGUAGCCGGUCCCAAGGGUAUGGCUGUUCGCCAUUUAAAGAGGUACGUGAGCUGGGUUUAAAACGUCGUGAGACAGUUUGGUCCCUAUCUUCCGUGGGCGCUGCAGAUUUGAGGAAGCCUGCUCCUAGUACGAGAGGACCGGAGUGGACGCACCUCUGGUGUAUCGGUUGUCACGCCAGUGGCAUUGCCGAGUAGCUAUGUGCGGAAGAGAUAACCGCUGAAAGCAUCUAAGCGGGAAACUCGUUUCAAGAUGAGAUCUGCCGGGGCCUUGAGCCCCCUGAAGAGUCGUUCAAGACCAGGACGUUGAUAGGUCGGGUGUGGAAGCGCAGUAAUGCGUUAAGCUAACCGAUACUAAUUGCUCGUGCGGCUUGACCCU
rnacentral:rRNA from 1 species